GAGGGUAUAGCUCAAGCAGUAUAGUGCAUGCUUAGCAUGCACGAGGUGCUGGGUUCAAUCCCCAGUACCUCCU
rfam:Camelus ferus unplaced genomic scaffold scaffold663, whole genome shotgun sequence.